rnacentral:lncRNA from 1 species
UUUGUUUGUUUGUUUGUUUGUUUCAAAUUAUCACUUGGGGAAUUAUCUGCUUGUACUACGGCAGAGGUUUGGCUAUUCUUGGUACCUUUUAAGAACAUACCUUUCAGAAAUAUCAUUAAGGUGAUUUUCCAUAGCUUACAGAGAGCUAAGUUAAGAAUGGUCUGGAAUCCAAAAAUAGUUAAAGUGGCAGAUAAUAGUACUGCAUCCAGUAAUUCCUGAACAUAGUGAGCAUUUUAAAUUUUAUUUCAGUUGGAUGUAAGAAAGCCACAUUGCUUCCACAGCAUUCCAAAAUCAUGAGAUAUUUCGAAAGCAUAUACAAUAUCAAUGUAAAUAUUGACAGUUUUGCACUUAGCUGAAGCACAAGCUUGCAUAAGAGUGAAUAAUUCAAUCUGUCAAAGUGAAAUAACCCUAGGUAAAGAACUGCUUCAACAACAUCAAAAGGAGUUGCAAUAGCAUACCCAACACAAUAUUUGCUACUGUCACUUUUUAAAUAAAACCACUGGUGAACCAUGAAAAGUUGGUAAUACUCCAGCAAGUGGUCAGUCAGCAUUAAGUUAUUGUGAGAGACUUUGUUGAUGAAACAGGGGAGAAGAGUGGUUGGGUUAAAGAUAUUACAACAUUAUAAAAUUAUGUGAGUAGAAGUAACAAAAGGACGACUUCUGAGACAGCUCAGAAGAAAUAUUGAGUGAGAUGAGAAUUCAGGAACAAAAAUGAUAAAAGUAGAUUCCACAAUAAUUUUCUUGCUGGAUUAACCUCAAUAAUGGUGGCUAUAAAAGCUCUGAAUCAAGAUAUGGGUAUCACUGUGUCACAAGGUUCAGUCACUGCUUGUAACACCCUAUGGAUUGAUGGUGGUUGUAGAAGUUUGGGUGAAUACUUCUAGGGCAAUUAAUUCCUUUCCAUAUACAAAAAGGAAAAAUGGGCCCUGACAAUUGGGAUGCCCAAAGAAGGUGUGUUCUUCAAACUCUCCCUUAAGACCUUGAAGACUAUGUCAUCCAGUUCUUCUCAUAAAAUUGCCUUGGGUUGUUAUCAUUUAGUUUAAGAUUUAGAGGUUUGGCUAUAAGAUAGAAAUUUUCAAUACAAUUUGGGCAAUAACCAACUAGCCUGGAAAUACUUCACAGUGGCACUUAGUUUUGUGUCCUGGAUCUAGGUGUAGCCCUUGUUCUAAUAUCAGAUGCUCUAAAUACUGAACCUGGGUUUGGGCAAAUUGCAAUUUUUCUUUGGCAACUUUAUGUCCCAUUAAGGCUAAUGUCCCUUAACAGCUGUUUUCCUGUGAAGAGUUUUAAGAAGGAAAACAAAAAAGCAAAUAUUCAGAUAUUGCAGCAAAGUAGUACCUCAGAGUAACAUGAUAUCAUUCAUAUCAGCUUUCAGGAGUCUCAUCAUUGAGAAUUAGGAAGAUGUUGGAAAAGUUGGUUAGAGGGCUGAAGGAAUCUAAAAUACUUAAAUUUGUAAUGAUCGCUUUUUCUAAUGUCCUGAACCUUUCCAAUAAUAGCAGAAACUAGGAGUGUUUUGAUUUCACGUUGGAGUCUUCAUUUGCUGGAAUUGAAGGUGAAUUCUGGGGGGGUGGUCUUCCUUUAGGAGACCCAUUUAGAGGGCAAGAGAGCUUGUCUGUCAGAUUAACUAAAUUCUGGAUUGGACAUAGUUUCUUUUUACUAGAAGGGAAAGAUGCUGGUUCAGUCCAUUAAAACAUAGAGUUAAAUGUAACUGGGGAAUCAACAGCUGAUGGAAGACUAGAAUUUUCUUCCAAAAAAAUCUGAAGAGGAUUAUAAUAGUCAUGAGUAUGUUCAUCAGACUUUUGUUAGCAAGCCUGAAUUUUGUUCCAAUCAACAGGCUUUAUAAAAGCUCAAGGAAUUGCUUGAUAAAGUUGCCUAGUGUUUGCUUGAGUCUGAUUAUAUAAUAAGUUAGUAGACUGAUCUCUGGGUUGUAACUCUAGAGAUAUUUCAAGAUUUUCCAAGUUAGUGGUUUUCAACCAAGACUGGGCCUUCCUUUCACUGACAAGCCUAUAAACAUGAUGAUAUAAAUCAGAGACACAAAGGUGAUAUGUUUGAAUGUCUAUAUUAAAUUCCUCAGCAAGUCUGUAAGGAUCUUCAUAUACUUUGGGAAAAUCUUUGACUAAGGCUCUCAAUUCAGUUUUAGUCAAAGGAAUAUAAGAAACUAAGAGUUUCAUGUCUGGAUACUUGGAAGGCUUAAUUUUAUUUAUUUAUUUUAUUUUUUAUUUUUUGGCUAUUUUAGGGCCACAGCCAUGGCAUAUGGAAAUUCCCAGACUAGAGGUCUAAUCAGAGCUGUAGCCACAGGCCUACACCACAGCCACAGCAAUGUGGGAUCUGAGCCGCGUCUGUGACCUACACCACAACUCACAGCAAUGCCUGAUCCUUAGCCCACUUAGUGAGGCCAGGAAUUGAACCUGCAUCCUCAUGGGUGCUAGUCAGUUUAGUUAACCGAUGAGCCAUGAAAGGAACUCUGGAAGACUUAAUUUUAAAGGGCUCAGUUCUGACAACUUCAGAGGAAAAAGGAGUGGGGAGAGUUUCACAGAAAAGGGGAAGUUUAUCUAAAGAAUUAAUAUGUGGGAACUGGGGGUAUCAAGGAGGAGAUGUUCAUGCACAGAAGAGAAGGAGGAAGAUAUUGUUAGAGGUGUAGUUCACUAGAUUAUGGAAAUUUCUGAGCUAUUGUAGUUCAAUACAGUUUUAAGGAAAGUAAGCGUGGGGAUGUCAAAAGUUCCUCAUAAUGGCCAUUGAUAUUCUAAAUCACUUUUGGUCAGGUUAGUCCAUUUAGUUAGAAAUGCAUAUGAGGAAUGAUGGUGGUUUUAAAUAUAAAAUCAGUCAGAUACCCUGAAGGGGGUGUCACCCUAAAAAAUACUUAAAAUAUCAGGAUCCCCUUUCUCAGAGGUUUUUUUCGAGAGUAAAAAACAGUUUUCUAACAGCUGAAACAUCUUUUGACACAAAAAGCUCAGUUCAAGUAGCUUGCAAGACUGAGUACCAGCCAAUUCAAAAGAAACAGCUUGGUCCUAGAGAAGCCAGGCUGAAGACAUUUUUUCAGCCAUUUUCCAGAGAAUAAGCCAUCACAAAUGAAUAGGUCAAAACCUGAACCCACACGGUUUCAUUUCAAGCAGUCCCUUCCAGAAGGUAUUGAGCAGAAAACAUUUUUAGCCAGUUUCAGUUGAAACAGUCUGAUCUCAAGGUUGGGCCAAAGUGCCAAAUGAGUACUUGUAUACAGAAUAAGGCCUUAACCAGAAAGACAAUACUUUUAAACAGAUCCCAAAUAAAGCCUGGAGAGGUAAAAAAUGCAAAGAAAGCAUGAGCCCAGAUCCAGGAGAAAGAAGUACCUUCAAAGCUCAGGAUUGGCAAGAAAGUAGUGAGUGACAGUGUGGCAGUCGUGAACACCAAACCCUUGCUCAGCAGCCCUGGAUAGAGAUGCUUAGCACUAAAUGUAAUGGCCCAGCUUCAAAAGCUUAUCACUAUUCUAGUCACUGUUGGCAGGAAUAUAAAACAGAUUGCUUGGCUUAGCAUGUGUCCUAUUCAGGUCAUGUGGGUAAAGUCCAGUUCCCCAAAUAAAUCUUCAAAUGGUGGGAAUAGGGAGGAGUGCAGGGAAAACAAACAAAAACAUCCUUAUACUGAAGAAAACAAUAACAACACAAUAAUAAAACAAAUUACCAGAAUAUUGAGAUAGAGAGCCAUCUCAAGGGUCAAAUAAACCAUAGAAAUAAAAGAGAGAUGUAGGAAUUCAUUUAAAACAGCUGAAAUGGGGGAUGCAAAUACCAACUAGAAUCUCUGACUUUCUUCUAUCUUCUGUCUAUUGACCCCUUUCUAGUCUCUCAGUUAUGACCAGAAUUUUCCACAUGGCAUAAUUAUUAACCAUUCAAAAGUGCAAACUUAAAAAAAAAAACUUUACUAUAUUAGCCACAUGAAUGAGAUUAACUUCAUGUUUCUUUAGUUCCAAUAUCUAAAAACUUAUACAAAACAAACUAAUCCACAUUAUAACUGCUAACAUUCCUGUUCCAGUCCAGUUCGGCCAUGGCAGUUGAGACACAUAAAACAACAACAACAACAACCAAAAAAAAAAAAAAACUAAAAAGAACUUAGUAAUUAGACAUAAAAUAAGCCAGUAUUUAGAAGAGUGGUUACUGUGCAGAAAAUCCAAAAUAUAUCUACUUUAACCUAAUGCUAAUUGUAGUUUACUACUUGAUUCAUCUAUUUUUAAAGAAAAACUCUAUUUGUAUUCUCACUAGUAUCACCCACAUCCUACUUUUCCUUUCCACCAAAGACUUAGAUUCUAACAUUAAAUUACAUUAAGACUCAAAAGUAUUUAUAACUUAUCAAUUUUUUCUUUCAGAGAAUAUCACUUUAUGUACACUUGAACUGAAGUAGUUAUAGCAUUGACAAAAUAACUGACUACAUUUUUUUUCCUUUUUCUAACAUGGCAAGAAUUAUGUAUUAUAUCUAUUUUCAAUGUUUAAUAAAAACUAAAAAAACACUUGAAUCGCACAUAUUUUUCCAAAGCUUAUUAUCCUUUAAUAAUUCAGUUACAGUCAUAAUACUUAUCCUGUUAUAUAAAUCCAAAAUCUGACAGGUUUUUACAUGAAAAUUAUAAAUAAAUAAAAAUGUAUUUUAAGAGUUCUAUGGUAGCUCAGCAGGUUAAGAAUCUGACUGAUAUUGUCACUGUUGUGGUUUACAUUCAAUCCCUGGCCCUGGAACUUUCACAUGCCAUGGCCAAAAAAAUAAAUAAAUAACAAUAUCUUUAAAAAUACAUGUUUUAAGUUAAAUGUUACUUUUUCAUUCUUUAUAGAUGUAUUAUUUGACCUAAAUAUGAAUUGAAAACAUUCCAGAGAUUCUGGUUCUUACUUUCUCAUGAUUCAUUCUGUCGAUUUUCUCUCCAGGCUCCUGAACUCCACAGCAUAUCCCUUACUAUCUGAUAUUUGAAUGAAUAUUUGAAGUUUAACUUUAUU